AGAGUUUGAUCCUGGCUCAGAUUGAACGCUGGCGGAAUGCUUUACACAUGCAAGUCGAACGGUAGAGGGGGCAACCCCUCGAGAGUGGCGAACGGGUGAGUAAUAUAUCGGAACGUGCCCAGUCGUGGGGGAUAACGUAGCGAAAGUUACGCUAAUACCGCAUACGAUCUAAGGAUGAAAGCGGGGGAUCGCAAGACCUCGCGCGAUUGGAGCGGCCGAUAUCAGAUUAGGUAGUUGGUGGGGUAAAGGCUCACCAAGCCAACGAUCUGUAGCUGGUCUGAGAGGACGACCAGCCACACUGGAACUGAGACACGGUCCAGACUCCUACGGGAGGCAGCAGUGGGGAAUUUUGGACAAUGGACGCAAGUCUGAUCCAGCCAUUCCGCGUGCAGGAUGAAGGCCCUCGGGUUGUAAACUGCUUUUGUACGGAACGAAAAGGUUUCUAUUAAUACUAGGAGCUCAUGACGGUACCGUAAGAAUAAGCACCGGCUAACUACGUGCCAGCAGCCGCGGUAAUACGUAGGGUGCAAGCGUUAAUCGGAAUUACUGGGCGUAAAGCGUGCGCAGGCGGUUAUAUAAGACAGAUGUGAAAUCCCCGGGCUCAACCUGGGAACUGCAUUUGUGACUGUAUAGCUAGAGUACGGUAGAGGGGGAUGGAAUUCCGCGUGUAGCGGUGAAAUGCGUAGAUAUGCGGAGGAACACCGAUGGCGAAGGCAAUCCCCUGGACCUGUACUGACGCUCAUGCACGAAAGCGUGGGGAGCAAACAGGAUUAGAUACCCUGGUAGUCCACGCCCUAAAC
rnacentral:rRNA from 1 species